rnacentral:lncRNA from 13 species
GUCUGAGGUAGUGAAAAGAAGCUUCAAGAAGCUCCUAUGUUUCAAGGUCUACCACUGAGUAUUUAUGUGCUCAGUU